GUGCUCAUUACAGCAGCAUAUAUAUUAAAAUCGGAACAAUACAGAGAACAUUAGCAUGGCCCUUGAGUAAGGAUGACAUGCAAAUUGGUGAAGUGUUCUAUAUUUUU
rnacentral:snRNA from 1 species